GAUGAACGCUGGCGGCGUGCCUAAUACAUGCAAGUCGAGCGAAUGGAUUAAGAGCUUGCUCUUAUGAAGUUAGCGGCGGACGGAUGAGUAACACGUGGGUAACCUGCCCAUAAGACUGGGAUAACUCCGGGAAACCGGGGCUAAUACCGGAUAACAUUUUGAACCGCAUGGUUCGAAAUUGAAAGGCGGCUUCGGCUGUCACUUAUGGAUGGACCCGCGUCGCAUUAGCUAGUUGGUGAGGUAACGGCUCACCAAGGCAACGAUGCGUAGCCGACCGGAGAGGGUGAUCGACCACACUGGGACUGAGACACGGCCCAGACUCCUACGGGAGGCAGCAGUAGGGAAUCUUCCGCAAUGGACGAAAGUCUGACGGAGCAACGCCGCGUGAGUGAUGAAGGCUUUCGGGUCGUAAAACUCUGUUGUUAGGGAAGAACAAGUGCUAGUUGAAUAAGCUGGCACCUUGACGGUACCUAACCAGAAAGCCACGGCUAACUACGUGCCAGCCGCCGCAGUAA
rnacentral:rRNA from 1 species